GAUGAACGCUGGCGGCGUGCCUAAUACAUGCAAGUCGAGCGAACAGACGAGGAGCUUGCUCCUCUGACGUUAGCGGCGGACGGGUGAGUAACACGUGGAUAACCUACCUAUAAGACUGGGAUAACUUCGGGAAACCGGAGCUAAUACCGGAUAAUAUAUUGAACCGCAUGGUUCAAUAGUGAAAGACGGUUUUGCUGUCACUUAUAGAUGGAUCCGCGCCGCAUUAGCUAGUUGGUAAGGUAACGGCUUACCAAGGCAACGAUGCGUAGCCGACCUGAGAGGGUGAUCGGCCACACUGGAACUGAGACACGGUCCAGACUCCUACGGGAGGCAGCAGUAGGGAAUCUUCCGCAAUGGGCGAAAGCUUGACGGAGUAACGCCGCGUGAGUGAUGAAGGUCUUCGGAUCGUAAAACUCUGUUAUUAGGGAAGAACAAAUGUGUAAGUAACUAUGCACGUCUUGACGGUACCUAAUCAGAAAGCCACGGCUAACUACGUG
rnacentral:rRNA from 1 species